GUGGAGCAUAUUGGCUAAUUUGACGUUAUGAAUGUUUAAACCACACAAAAAUACACAAAACAAUCAAUCAAUCAAACAAACAGAAUAAAUCCAAAACUAUAGUGUCCAGUCCAAUUAUUACAACCCGAAAUAAGAAGGUACUGAAAAGUAAACCUACACUAAUCCUAAACUAUGCUUCAAUGCUUUAACCGAUGCCUCGGGCCUUCAUCACGGACGUCCUCCGAGUACAAAAUACUUUGGGGCAUUCCCCGGUGAAUAAGUACAAUAUAACCUCGGGC
rnacentral:lncRNA from 1 species